rnacentral:tRNA from 1 species
ACCUGGCUGGCUCAGUUGGUAGAGCAUGUGACUCUUGAUCCCAGGGUUGUGAGUUCGAGCCCCAUGCUGGGUG